CACAGAUGUAAACUGGACUGAAUGAAAAGGCUCUGAAAAACCACUGAAAGCAGAUUAAAAGAAGGGAUUCCUAAUUUUUCAUCUUAUAUCUUUUCAUUUUGGGGAGACAAGAUGGCUGUUGGAAGGAUCGUACUGAUGUUCCUGAUUCUUAUGGCUAUUACACCUAUGGCAACAGUCACAGCAACUGCAGCACCAACAACCGGCGCAUCUACAGCUGCCGCACCAACAACAGCAGACACUGCUACAGCUGCACCAACAACAGCUGCACCCACAACUGCUCCACCAACAACUGCCGCACCAACAACAACAGCACCUACGACAGCUGCAGCUACAACAGCAGCAACUGCCGAACCAACAACAGCAGCCCUUACUACAGCAGCACCAACAACAGCUGCACCAACAACAGCAGCACCUACAACAGCUGCAGCUACAACAGCAGCACCAACAACUGCCGCACCAACAACAGCAGUCCUACUACAUCUGCACCAACAACAACCACACUUACAACAGCAGCACCAACAACGGCCGUACCUACAACAGCCACACCUACAACUGCAGCACCUACAACAGCGACACCUACAACUGCCGCAUCAACAACAGCAGCCCUUACUACAGCAGCACCAACAACAGCUGCACCAACAACAGC